UAAGUAGCUCUGCUGAUUCGAAAGGCUUUCACAACAACCGCGCACGUCCCAGCGAGAGACGCUUCAGUUUUUGGAAUUCCCUUCAGAUCAAGAUGACUGAAUUCCACUCUGAUUCAAUGGAUUUGGAGUCAGCUGUUCAGUUGGAGGAAGCCUGCUAAGAACGAGCAGUGUUAUGGAAACCCUGCUAAGAAUCAGCAAAGUUGGCGGAAAGCAAGUUUAAAACUAUCUGAGCUGGAGGAAAGCCUGCUAAUAAUCAGCUGAAUAGGCCAAAAGCUUGCAAUAAACCAUCUGCUCAACUGAUCCAGCCUAUUUCUGUAAAGAAAAUCCUCUACAGCAAUUCAGGGUAAAAAUUUAUUGGUACUUUUGAAAAAGUGAUUGAAAGAACAUUCCAAGAUUAUAUUUCCUGAGUGAGCUGAGUCUAUAACAAUUUUUGUGACAAGCACAAAAACAGAAAUUGAUGGAAAAGCUCAGCAGGUCUGGUGAAGAGAAA